AGACCCGAAACCCGGUGAUCUAGCCAUGGGCAGGUUGAAGGUUGGGUAACACUAACUGGAGGACCGAACCGACUAAUGUUGAAAAAUUAGCGGAUGACUUGUGGCUGGGGGUGAAAGGCCAAUCAAACCGGGAGAUAGCUGGUUCUCCCCGAAAGCUAUUUAGGUAGCGCCUCGUGAAUUCAUCUCCGGGGGUAGAGCACUGUUUCGGCAAGGGGGUCAUCCCGACUUACCAACCCGAUGCAAACUGCGAAUACCGGAGAAUGUUAUCACGGGAGACACACGGCGGGUGCUAACGUCCGUCGUGAAGAGGGAAACAACCCAGACCGCCAGCUAAGGUCCCAAAGUCAUGGUUAAGUGGGAAACGAUGUGGGAAGGCCCAGACAGCCAGGAUGUUGGCUUAGAAGCAGCCAUCAUUUAAAGAAAGCGUAAUAGCUCACUGGUCGAGUCGGCCUGCGCGGAAGAUGUAACGGGGCUAAACCAUGCACCGAAGCUGCGGCAGCGACACUGUGUGUUGUUGGGUAGGGGAGCGUUCUGUAAGCCUGUGAAGGUGUGCUGUGAGGCAUGCUGGAGGUAUCAGAAGUGCGAAUGCUGACAUAAGUAACGAUAAAGCGGGUGAAAAGCCCGCUCGCCGGAAGACCAAGGGUUCCUGUCCAACGUUAAUCGGGGCAGGGUGAGUCGACCCCUAAGGCGAGGCCGAAAGGCGUAGUCGAUGGGAAACAGGUUAAUAUUCCUGUACUUGGUGUUACUGCGAAGGGGGGACGGAGAAGGCUAUGUUGGCCGGGCGACGGUUGUCCCGGUUUAAGCGUGUAGGCUGGUUUUCCAGGCAAAUCCGGAAAAUCAAGGCUGAGGCGUGAUGACGAGGCACUACGGUGCUGAAGCAACAAAUGCCCUGCUUCCAGGAAAAGCCUCUAAGCAUCAGGUAACAUCAAAUCGUACCCCAAACCGACACAGGUGGUCAGGUAGAGAAUACCAAGGCG
rnacentral:rRNA from 1 species